GCCAAUGUAUAGUGUUCUGUUCUGCCUCAUAAAGCUCCCGACGCCGCCCAUGUCAUCUCGGUAAUCACUGUGUUUUUCACGGCCGAAACAGUCCACAUUUGGAUUGAACAGGUCAUGCAAGCCGGGUAGACGAUGUAGGUAGUCACAUUCAUGGCCCUUGGGGCACAGGCCGCGUGCAAAGAAGAGGCAAAAGUAUGAACCACGAACUUUGUCCGCGCGCGUGUAGCCGCUGUCACGGGCUAUGUUACAGCGUGAAGGAGCAGGUUGUUGUGAGAGGUAUUUAUCUUCGCGAUCGCCACCAGACCAUUUAUUGUACCAGAUGUUGAAUAUCGUGCCUGUUUGGGGUGGAGGCUCGGAUUUUACUGUUGCUGGAUCGACUUGUGGCCGGGCUGGUCUUCGCUUUCGGCGGAUUAUCUUCUUUGUUUUCUUUUCAGGGUCUGCUACGUCAGUAGAGCUUGUCGCGAGUGAGGUGUCGGCGCCAGUUGAGACGGCGAGAUCCAUGGAGGGAGUUGAGGCUUCUUGUAUUCUAGUGU
rnacentral:sRNA from 1 species